UCUCUCUCUCGCUGACUCUUCUCUUCAUUUUCUCCCUCACUUUGUGCCGCCACAGUCCCUAGCCGUCGUCGGUAGCAGUUUCUUCAUGCCUGUAAGUCUCUCCAUAUAUCCCUCUCGUCCCUCUCGUUCGGAUCUCUUUUCUCUCUCUCCAUAUGGGUCUCUCACUUUGUCGAUUUUCCAGCCCAUCUCUCUGUUUCUUUGACUCUCCCUCUUGUACGCCGCCUCCGUGCUCCAUCGACUUCCCUUCAUAUGCAUCCUCUCCCUUCUCGACUUCCCUCUUUCUCUCUUCGUCCAUGUCUCUUUUGCUCUCUCCCAGUUUCGUUCCCCUUCUCUCUCUCUCUCUCUCUCUCUCUAACCCUCUAUUUUUUCCUUCCGCCAAUAUCACCGUAGUGACCAGUGCAUGUCGUUGCACCACACGCACAGCCGCUCUGCACCAUCUAAUAGUGUUGUGUUUCUUGACCAAGUGAUUGUUGGGUUCUUAAUGGCUUUUGUCAUUUGGUUUCAAGAACAUGAUUUUCUGGUUAGAAAACUUUUUCAAAAUACUUGCUAAAAUGCCCUGGAAUUCAUUAUUUAUUGAGGCUGGAAAUAAAGACAUAUACAUAAAAUUUGAUUGAAGAUGUUGGAAUCAGAAGGAAAAUACACGAAAGCCCAUAAUUGGAUUUUGAGGAGUUUGAGACUAGUAAGCUUAUCAGAGCAGAAUUGGAUAAGAUGGGUAUUCCCUAUAAUUACCCAGUUGCAGUUACUGGUGUUAUCGACUUCAUUGGGAUUGAUGGAGCCCCUUUUGUGGCCAUAAGGGUUGAUAUGGAUGCUCUUGCUAUGCAGAUUGGGAAUUUGGCAUAUUGUCUACCUGAAGCACCAAAAGUUGUAUAUGGAUUGAGAGGUUCCACUACUGAUAUAUACCUUGACAAUGCAGCUUACAGAGAAUUUCUGUUCAAAUAAUUUAACGUCUCAACUGUUGAUGAAGAAAGUGUUGUUAUUGUAAUGGCAAGUGAAAACAACUCCCGAUGUUCCAUGGAAAAUUGUUUAUUUGUCAUUUUUUGAGAUAAUACAUGUAUGAUUGCUGGAACUACCACGUCUGCAGUAGGUAUUUGGAGCUUAGGGAGUUCCAAACUAUCCUUUGGCUUCAUUUGGUUCAGGACAUAAUUCGCAGUCGGACAGCUUGACACAAAUGCAGUACUUUUUGAUCGAUCAUCAAGGUAGAUCUUAUCUACACUCAGUGGUCAUGCUAAAAAGGUUCAACUGCUUUUAAGUUUUAUUCAUUUGCUCGUGUUUUCUGGUCAUUAAGAUUGGUUGAUUUGAUAACAAUUGGUGCACACUUCCCUACAUUUUUCCAUGUUUAGUAUUAGUGCUUUUUUUCCCCCUUUCUUUUAAAACUACCUAGAUUUUGUUAUUUUUAUUCCAAUAUUUUCUUUUUUGUAAUAUAUUGUUCACACUCUUUAUGUGUUUUAGGUA